rnacentral:rRNA from 1 species
GACGAACCGUGCGAACGUUGUUCGGAAUCACUGGGCUUAAAGGGCGCGUAGGCGGGUCACCAAGUCCGGGGUGAAAUCUUUCGGCUCAACCGGAAAAUUGCCUUGGAUACUGGUGGUCUUGAGGGAGGUAGGGGCAUGUGGAACUUCCGGUGGAGCGGUGAAAUGCGUUGAUAUCGGAAGGAACGCCGGUGGCGAAAGCGACGUGCUGGAUCUCUUCUGACGCUGAGGCGCGAAAGCUAGGGGAGCAAACAGG